AUUCAUAUCCUUUUUUAUUCUUAUAAUAGAUUAGAAUGUUAUUUAAAUAAUAAAUAAAAAAAUUAUCAAGAAACUCACAAAAAAUAUCAUUCAUGAGUUGCUGAAAAGAAAUUGGUACGUUUAUGGAUCCAAAGGGUAUGACAUUGUAUUCAAAAUAUCUAUAUCUAGUUUAAAAAUCAAUCUUAUAUUUAUUUCUUUUUUUUGAUGUAGACUAGAUUGUAUACUCCUUGUAGAUCUAUCUUUGUAUAGAUCUUU
rnacentral:lncRNA from 1 species